GUCUGAACGUAAACAUAGAUAUUUAUUUGGCUGUUUGAAAAAUUUUGCAAGAAAUGUUUGGUAGUUGGACAAUAAAAUACUUGUUGUCUUCAGUUUAGCCUUACAUAUAUACUAAAGUUAAAAGAGCAGAAUAUUGUUAAAUUUCGAAUUCUCAUUGUGACUUUGAGGAAUGGGUGAUUAAGAAAGGAAACAAUGUCAUCUGCCAUCGGAAAUUUCUGACAGGAACCGGCAACAGUAAGAAGACAAGGCAACCUCUAAACCCCCUAAAUUAAAGCCUCCAGCAUAUGGCAUACUUUUGAUGAAAGCCAUCGCUGAAAAAAGGGAAGAGAAUUGUAGAUGUGUUUAACAUUUUUGAUUUGCGCUAUGUUCUUUAUUGUUUAUUGAUAUAUUUUUUUCAUAUAUCAUAACGAACAUAUAAAAAAUUUUUUGCUUAUGA